rnacentral:lncRNA from 1 species
UUGCUGAAAUGCAGCACUACAAAGUAUGCUUUCAUAAACUGUUUUAAAAUUUUCUCAGGAAGCAAACAGAGCUGCAGCUUGCCACGUCCUGCUUUGGGAGAGUUGGAAGUCUCCUGCAGCGGCACCCUGCUCUCCUCCCUGUGCUCUUACCCAGGUGUAAGCUGCGUGCUGCCUGUGGAGGUUGCUACUCACAUUGCACGCUGCUGGAGGAAGAACAUUCGGUCACACACGUUCUCCUUGCUUGCACGUUCUCCAAGAGGCCACUAAACGUGGGCUCACUGUGGCUCCAAACCCCCAGCCCUGGGAAAGAUAUGGUGUGGGAAAGAGGAGUAGGCAGAGCAAUCUGGGGGUCCCAGUUAGCUUCAGCUAUGGGCCUACCUGGCAAUAGUCCUGCAGAAAAUGCCUUCAUACCCGGGCAAGCAGCAUGGCUCUUGCUCAUUGCCCAUCCCUCAGCUGGGGCUGAUGGCACCUCUCCUUCCCACAGCUGAUGGUGGCAACUCAGGAUCUCCGUGUCCUCUGUCCUUUUCGAAGAACAUUCAAAAGUUAGCAGCAGUUAUCCAGGGGUUCUGGCAGACAGACUCAGAUGCAAGCAGACAACGAAGUAACAGAAGUGUCAUUUAUUACUGGUGCUGGACGAAGGAAGAAAAGGAUGGUAGAGAUUUGUACCUUCACAGGAUGACCAGAUUUCAGUUGCUGUUUGACCACUGCCCCCAAAAAACGAACCGGGAAUGUUCAUUUUUUCUCUCUCCACCUUGCACUCAGUAACAACAAUUCUAAAUUAGACUUGUAAAUGAGAGCAAAAUUCAUCCUUUUUACUCUCGAAGACAGAACACCUAUAGCGCUUGCUACAGAAAAAGUGAAGCAUUUGUAGGUGGACUAUGCCCUGUGAAAUCAGUGAGACUGAAUUCAUGUUUGAUUUUAAUGCAUGGCAAGGCUCACCUUGGGAAACCAUGGGCAUUUGAAAAUAAAUCCUUAGAUAACCCAUAGUUCAGAUAACCCAUGGGAAAAACAGAGGCAGAGACAGGGAGGCUGUGGGAGAAGGGCAGCAGCCUUCGUGGGAAUCGUGGCAGGACACUGCGAAGAUAAAGACUUUGCCUUUCACAUACCUCCUUACUGAGAAAUUGUACAAUCAGCUGAUAAAUUUUAAUGCCAUUUGAUCAACUGCAGUUCCCUGACCACAUCACCCCAAUUUUGCUUAUUGAUUCUAUGUGCACCGAACUGCUUCAGAAGAGCUCCCAUUCUCCGCGUUCCCGGUUUCACUGAAAAUGACCCCAAAUUAUCUUGGCUUCUGCACAUUUGAGACAGAGCUAAAGAUCAGGUCUGUCACACAGCAGACAUUACCUGGCUUGUAGGUUGUAAAAACCGGUUUUAUUCAAAGUAGUUGGGCUUAAUCUGACAUAGGUUUAUAUAUGCUAGAAAGCACUACCGGUGUUUUCUGAAUUUCAUGUAAGUUAAAAUCCAUUUGCUGCAUGCAGACGGGUUGCUCACGGCUGACUGCCCCCCUGCAAGCCUUUCCACCUGGAGAACAUCAGGCCUGAUGGUUGAUCAGAGCUGCUCUGAGCUCAGAGCUGGUGCUGCUCUGAGCAGAGGUUGGACUGGAUACCUCCUGAGGUUUCUUCCAACCUGGAUCGUUCUGUGACCAUUUGAAUCCGUACAACGGAGCCCUGUUUAUAGGCUCCAUGAACAAGGAGACUGGUAGUAGGUGGUGUUGCUGAGAAUAAGAAAUGCAGCCGUGAACUUUUUUCCUGCUCCAUGUUUAAACUCUCAUUAAAAACGAAGGAUCAUUUCAGCUUUUUUUUUUCACAUCACUCAGCUAUAUUCAUACACACGCACAUCUGUAUAUAUAGAAACAGGGAGCGUCUGAGCGUUCUCCUCUGUGUUUUUAUCCACUAAAUGUACGUGUUAUAAUCCUCGGUGUUGUGCAAGGCUACAGGAUAAUCUGCUGCAUUCAGUAGCUACUCCUGCUCAGGAAAUGCACAACAGUCACAAAUGCUGCACAGAUUGGUUGCUGGGUAAACUGUGGCUCAUUUGUAUUCAGCACCCUGCGUAAAAGUGAUAAGAAGCCAAAUACUCCUAGGAAACAGCACAAAUGAAAUACAGCACGCAGGAGGCAAAGUAUUUAUAGAAACAAAAUAUCAGCAUUUUCCACACAUUUACACAAAGCAAUUUCAGUCUUUUCAUAGGAAAAAAAAAGAACAUCUCUGGCACUCAUUUAUUCAUUUCCCUGCAGUCAUAUAUUUUGGCCAAAAAGCACUGACUACAUAGAAAACCUUCAGGUCACAGCAAAUUAAAGAUCAAUGACAACCCAAAAUAGAUGCUGUCAUAUUUUCACUCCUAACAUGUCUUUGUAAUGAGCACUGUUUCAGUAAGUAAAUAACGUGACAUUUCUGCUUGAAUGGGAUUUUAGCAUCGUGGCUGAACUCUGCCCACAGAUCCCCAGCUUGCUAUGGGAGAAAAAAAAGGUAUCUGCUGCAUUUAACUCCUUGGGACCUCUGGGCUCAUUAGUGCGAGUCAGUGCAACGUUGAGGCCCGGCGGUCAGGAAACCAACCCACACCGCUUCCUUCGUGUGUGCGUAACCGCCCCGGGCUCUGUUCAGGAUGGCAAUGCGUUGCCUUGCUUGGGCACAGCGCCCACCUGCACCUCAAGG